rnacentral:lncRNA from 10 species
GAUUAAUCGGACACGGUCAGCAGGGAAAGCACGUGUGUUUUUAUGAGAAUUAUGCCGAGAUAGGUAACAGAUGAGGAUGAAAUUUGGGCUUGACUGAAGUAAUGGGGGCUGUCUGUGAAGCCUUGCGGCAGUACAGCCUAGGUAAUUUGCUGAGCCUGAUGGGUGUCAGGGUCAGUCCAAGUGAAAGCGAAGAGAGGCUGGGAUGAAGGGUGCAAAGGAAUAGUAAAGAAAGCAUGUUUGAGAUCCAGAACAGAAUAAUGGGUUGUGGAGGGAGGUAUUGAGGAUAGGAGAGUAUAUGGAUUUGGCACCACGGGGUGGAUAGGCAAAACAGUUUGGUUGAUAAAGCGCAGAUCCUGAACUAACCUGUAAGGCUUGUCUGGUUCUAGGACAGGUAAAAUGGGGGAAUUAUAAGGAGAGUUUAUAGGCUUUAAAAGGCCAUGCUGUAGCAGGCGAGUGAUAACAGUCUUUAAUCUUUUUAAAUCGUGCUGUGGAAUGGAAUCUUGGCAUUGAGAGGAGUAAAGGUGAUUAGGUUUUAAUGAGAUGGUAAGGGGUGCGUGACCGGUCGCCAAGGAGGGAGUAGAGGUAUCCUAUACUUGGGGGUUAAGGUUGGGGGAUACAAGAGGAGGAUGCAAAGGAGGCUUUGGAUUGGGAAGAAGGGCGGCAAUGAGAUGUAGCUGUAAUCCAGGAAUAGUCAGGGAAGCAGAUAAUUAAGUUAAAGUGUCUCAGCCUAAUAAGGGAACUGGGCAGGUGGGGAUAACUAAAAAGGAGUGCUUAAAAGAGUAUCGUCUAAGUUGGCACUAGAGUUGGGGAGUUUUAAGAGGUUUAGAAGCCUGGCUGUCAAUACCUACAACAGUUAUGGAGGCAAGGGAAACACGCCUUUGAAAAGAAGGUAAUGUGGAGUGGGUAGCCUCCGUAUUGACUAAGAAAGGGACGGACUUACCUUCUACUGUGAGAGUUACUUAGUGUCUGUGUUGGUCCUGUAGGCUUCUGAGGCGAUCAGGCGGUGUCAGUCUUCAGCUGCUAAGCCGAGAAGAUCUGGGAAGGAGUCAGAGAGCCUUGGGCCAGAGUUCCAGGGGCUCUGGGAGUGGUUGCCAAGUGAGUUGAACAUUCUGAUUUCCAGUGGGGUCCUGCACAGAUGGGAUGUGGCUUAGGAGGAAUCCUGGGCUGUGGGCAUUCCUUGGCCUGGUGGUCAGAUUUCUGGCACUUGUAGGAAGCUCCUGGGGGAGGAGGUUCUGGAGGAAUGCCUGGCCGCUGUGGUUCAGGCGUUUGGAAGUUCUUGUUUGCUGGAGAUGUGGCUGGGGUUUGUCUUACAGUGGAGGCAAGGAAUUGCAACUUUUUUCUAUUAUUGUAUACUUUGAAGACCAUACACUUGGCACAAGGAGAAGUGCAAAGCAUAAAGAUGAAGACCAC